GGUGAACGCUGGCGGCGUGCCUAAUACAUGCCAGUCGAGCGAACGGACGAGAAGAUUGCUUUUCUGAUGUUAGCGGCGGACGGGUGAGUAACACGUGGAUAACCUACCUAUAAGACUGGGAUAACUUCGGGAAACCGGAGCUAAUACCGGAUAAUAUUUUGAACCGCAUGGUUCAAAAGUGAAAGACGGUCUUGCUGUCACUUAGAGAUGGAUCCGUGCUGCAUUAGCUAGUUGGUAAGGUAACGGCUUACCAAGGCAACGAUGCAUAGCCGACCUGAGAGGGUGAUCGGCCACACUGGAACUGAGACACGGUCCAGACUCCUACGGGAGGCAGCAGUAGGGAAUCUUCCGCAAUGGGCGCAAGCCUGACGCAGCAACGCCGCGUGAGUGAUGAAGGUCUUCGGAUCGUAAAACUCUGUUAUUAGGGAAGAACAUAUGUGUAAGAAACUGUGCCUAUCCUGACGGUACCUAAUCAGAAAGCCACGGCUAACUACGUG
rnacentral:rRNA from 1 species